rnacentral:rRNA from 1 species
CGAGCACGCGCGUGUGGCAUAUCAAUAAGCGGAGGAAAAGAAACUAACAAGGAUUCCCUUAGUAACGGCGAGUGAAGCGGGAAGAGCUCAAAUUUGAAAUCUUCAAGGUUCUACCUUGACGAAUUGUAGUUUAUAGAAGUGUUUUCUGUUAGUAGAGUGGCAAAAGUUCUUUGGAAUAGGACAUCAUAGAGGGUGAGAAUCCCGUAUUUGGUCAUUCCUUCCUAGCUUUGUGAUACACUUUCAACGAGUCGGAUUGUUUGGGAAUGCAGUCCAAAAUGGGUGGUAAAUUUCAUCUAAAGCUAAAUAUUGGCGAGAGACCGAUAGCGAACAAGUACCGUGAGGGAAAGAUGAAAAGAACUUUGAAAAGAGAGUUAAACAGUACGUGAAAUUGUCAAAAGGGAAGCGUUUGACACCAGUGUUGUUUUUCCGAAAAUCAAUUACGAAUGUUUUGUUUUUGAGGAGUUAUGACUUCAUCGGCUUGCUUCUUUCUUUAUGAAACUUUCUUAAUGCACUUUUCGGUUAACAAGUCAACAUCAAUUUCUUUUGUUGUAAAAGGGUAUGAGGAAGGUGGCUUUCUUUUCGGAGAAAGUGUUUAUAGCCUUGUAGCCUCUGCAAUCGGAGAGAUUGAGGUCUGCAGCGUAGAUCCUUCGGGGUUAGAUACGUUUGUGCUAAGUUAUAGCUUUUCAUAGACAACUUGUUGACUAUGUUAAGUCUUGUAGCUUACUCGCUUAUGCUAUUUUACCUACGCUUAGGAUGUUGAGUAGCGACAUACGCAC